rnacentral:lncRNA from 1 species
GAGUAUUUAGCCUUUUUUCAGAACCAAAUUUCGGGAUCAAUACCAAAAACUUUUGGGAAGUUGCAAAGCAUCAAAAUAAUGCAAGUCUUUGAUAACAAAUUAUCAGGUUCCCUUCCUCAAGAAUUUGGAGAUCUCAUCAAACUUGUGGAACUUGCACUUUCUAACAACUCACUUUCAGGACAUUUACCUGCAAAUAUAUGUUUAGGUGGCAGACUAAAAAAUGUCUAUGCCUCUUUUAAUAUGUUUAGUGGCCUCAUUCCAAGGAGUUUAAAGACAUGUACGAGUUUGGUUAAAAUUGACCUUCAAUCGAACAAACUAACAGGAGAUAUAUCUCAGCAUUUUGGUGUGUAUCCAGAACUCAUAGGGAUGAGCUUGUCAUCAAAUAGACUCACUGGCAGAUCUCGCCAAAUCUUGGUGCAAGUACUCAACUAACGAUACUAUAUUUAGCACACAAUAUGAUCACGGGUUCCAUACCUCCAAUCAUUUCUAAAUUUUCAAACCUAGUAGCACUAAGACUUGAUUCUAAUCAUCUCAGCGGCGAGAUCCCACCAGAAAUCUGCAGUUUAGCAAAUCUCUAUAACAUGAACUUAUCAUCAAACCAAUUAUCUGGAUCCAUACCUAAACAGAUAGAAAAGCUUCGCAAUCUAGGAUAUCUUGAUAUAUCUGGGAACAGACUGAAUGGAUUGAUACCUGAGGAACUAGGGGCCUUCACGAAACUACAGUACCUAAAGAUCAACAACAAUAGCUUCAGUGGGAGUUUGCCUGGUGCGAUUGGAAAUUUAGCAGCCUUGCAGAUCAUGUUAGAUGUGAGCAACAAUAACCUCAGUGGUGUGUUGCCGCGGAAUUCGGGAAUUUGGGGAUGCUAGAAUUUCUGAAUUUAUCGCAUAAUCAAUUCAGUGGCAACAUUCCAUCCUCCUUUGGAAGCAUGGUGAGCCUUUCAACAUUUGAUGUGUCCUACAAUGACUUGGAAGGACCAGUCCCAACAACAUGGCUACUCCACAAUGCUUCAGCAAGCUGGUUUCUUCCCAAUAAAGGUAUGUGCGGUAACCUCUCUGGCCUGCCACCUUGUUAUUCAUCUCCAGUAGUUGGUCACCAUAAAGGGAAGAUACUUGGUUUGCUUUUGCCGAUUGUUCUUGUGGUGGGUUUCAGUAUUAUUGCUGCAAUUGCUGUUGUAAUAAUGCUUAGUCGUAACAAGACAAAACCACAAGAAGGUGUUAUUGCUGAAGCAAGGGACCUGUUCUCUGUUUUGAACUUUGAUGGAAGAUUGGCAUUUGACGAUAUUUUAAGGGCAACAGAAGGCUUCGAUGAUAAGUACAUCACUGGAACAGGAGGAUACGGCAAAGUCUACAAGGCACAACUCCAAGAUGGGGAGCUGGUUGCUGUGAAGAAGCUUCAUCAGACCGAAGAGUUGGAUGAUGAAAGAAGAUUUCGUAGUGAAAUGGAAAUCUUAACACAGAUCCGACAACGAAGCAUUGUCAAAAUGUAUGGAUUCUGCUCCCAUCCAGUGUAUAAGUUUCUAGUCUACGACUACAUUCAGCAGGGAAGCCUCCACGGAAUAUUGGAAAAUCAGGAGCUAGCAAAGGAAUUAGAUUGGAAGAAGAGAAUUGCUCUUGCAACUGAUGUGGCUCAAGCAAUAUCUUAUUUGCACCACGAAUGCAGUCCACCUAUAAUCCAUCGAGAUAUCACAAGCAACAACAUCUUACUUGAUACAUCCUUCAAGGGUUUUGUCUCGGAUUUUGGCACGGCAAGGAUUCUUAAACCCGAUUCAUCAAACUGGAGUGCACUAGCAGGAACAUAUGGCUACAUAGCUCCUGGUAUGUUCUAGCAUAACCUUAUUCUCACCAGAAGCAUUCAUCUCAGUCAUUUGUUCCUAAUCCUAAUGUUUUGAUCAAUGUUGUGCAGAACUGUCGUACACAUCUGCUGUGACAGAGAAAUGUGAUGUCUAUAGCUUUGGCGUGGUGGUGCUAGAGCUAGUGAUAGGGAAGCAUCCAAGGGAUCUAUUAGACGGUAGUUUGUCAAGCGGGGAACAAGCUAUACUUGUGAAAGAUAUUCUGGACCAACGGCCGACAACACCAACAACAACAGAAGAGAAGAGCUUAGCUCUGCUCAUCAAGCUGGCCUUCUCUUGCUUGGAAUCUUCUCCACAAGCAAGGCCAACCAUGCGGGCGGCAUACCAAACGCUCAUCCAGCAACCUUGUUCUAGUUCAAGUCCCGUGCCUUUCAGCGCACUUACAUUACAGCAAGGGAUGCAUGUUGAUGUAUGAUCCGAAUUCUAGUGAGAAGCCAGGGUCUAUCUUGGCGGAGGUCGAUAAAAUGUUUCCACUUUUGACACUCAUAUUCCACCUAUAUAUACCCCAUGUAUACCAACAUGGGAUGAGUUGUACACUCACGUCAUACAGUGAAAUAUAACCGUCGUGUGCCUAUGGUUUUCCCCGCAAGGGUUUUCCACGUAAAAAUUGGUGUCAUGUGUUCUUGAUAUUUCUCUUUUUGUUCGCUUGCCAAUUUCUAAGAAUGCAUAAGUAUAAUUUUAUUGUGGGUUGCUUGUAAUAUGUUGAGUUUAUACUUAUAUUUGCUUAGACGUAGUACGUUUAUCCACAUGUGACACUUCCUUUCGGUUGUUGUCUGCAAGGGUGCUUGAAAUGGCGUCCUAUCUCUCUUUUUGUCUACUAUUUCUCCCAUGAACCUAAAAAUGGGGAAAAAUAAAGGAACCCAAAACUGGUGCGAUAUCAUGUAGUCCUGCUUUAUUGUUCUCUGGUAAUCAUCAAGAUAAAAAAUCCCUAAAAACACCUUGAACUAAGCAGGAAUGAUCACAAUGAUCAAUUGGUCAAUGCAUAAACAUGAACAAAUGAAUGUAAGCACAUGGGGCUAGGUGCAUAAAAAAAGGAAAAUUGCCACUGAGGAAAAGUACUUAUGGAGGUCUGUAGGGCAGAAGUAUGAAGUCCUUGUACUUAUGAUGAUGGAGCAUUGUGUCCAGAUUUCAAGAAUUGGUUGUCGAGAUUGACAUGGAACAAAUAUACAACCUUCUUUUCAUCAUGCCUAAUACAAACUUAACAAAGGAUGAGAUGAGAUGAGAUGAAAAGCCCAUAAUUUCAUUAUCAAAAAAAGUAGAUACCAAUUCACCUCAGAAUGAGAGCAAAUUAGUUAGUGCAAUCACAGACAGACAAUGCUAACAACAUGAUGUACAACCGUAUAGAGAACAGCUCGCUUUAUCACUCACUAUUAUUAUUCCAAACCAAUGGAAAAAGGACAUUACAUCGUUCAACGAAUUGCAGUGGUAUAUGACGAAAGAUACAAUGAAUUUGUCCAUGCAGAAACAUAGCGCCGACCAUUUACAUCAAGAUCAAACCUACACGUAUUUUUAGUUUCAGGUACGAAUUGAUGCGUGCGGCACCGUAGGCAGUCCAAGUUCAUCCUCCUGCACCAACAGGUAAAAACAAGGAGAGCAAAUUAGUUCAUAAAUUAUCUCAAGUAUCUCGCCUAUCGAUUAAAUCAUGUGACAAAAUAAUAAAAAAUGUUUAUAGCUCCAAGAACUGUGGUUGCGGGGACAUGAAAUGAGCCGUCAAUUUCCUCGGGAUAUCAGCACCAUAAUCAAUGUCACUAGAAACUAGUAAGUAUCCCUACCUGCUGCCGGUUUGCCGGGAUUGCUGCAUGACCACUUGGUGCAGCAGGUAAGUUAAGCUCGGAAUCAAGAUCUGUCUCCUUGUCUGGUUGGAGGUACGAUGGGACUGAAUUUGAUUCGAAGUCCAUAUCAGCUUCGAAAGCAUCAAGCUCUACAUUUUUUAAGAUACAAAAUGAGCGCAGCAAAAAGAGAAAUGUCUUGUCAGUAAAUUAAUAGUACAGGGCUUACGACAAAAGUGCCAAGGUAACGUUUCAGGUAAAAUCCUAGACCUAAGAGCUGAUAAAAACUGAGAAUUUGCUAGAUCAAAUUCAACUACAGAAUUUAAAUUGAAGAGUGGCUCCUGGCUGGUUACCACUGUAAGGAAAAUUCAGUAACUUUAAGGUGAUAAUAUCUGGCGCUUGAAUUAUCUAAGAAUAGGAAACUGCAAUAAGUUUCAUACCACCCAUAAGUUCCUCCUCAUCGAUAUCAUCUGGGACAUUGUAGCUUCUACCAAGAGUUUCUUGUAUUUCAUUGCUCACAUCCAUAAGAUCCAUCAUCUCGUCUUGCAUGCUCUGCGGAUGAUUAUUAAAACAAGUAUGGAUUCAGAUGUAAUUAAAACAAAAAUAGACAGGAUAAAUUAAGCAAGCAAAUAAUGAAUCUGGUACAAAACAGGAUGUUGCAUACAUCUAUAUCUUCAAUCCUGACAGUCUUCAUCAUCCCUUUCAGCUCUUUAUUGGCAGCUUUCAUUGCAGUCAUCUGUUAAAUGAAAAACAAUUCAACAUGAGUUUGAGAGCCAGAAUCAGAAUCAAUCAUUAAACCUGAUAGUAAGAAGGCAGCAUACAGUUUGUUGAGCAUCUUUAAUUCCCUCGGACGCGAAAGCAACUUGGUCAAGAUUAUAAGUUUGGUUGUACAGCAUGUCACGCUGCCCUUCAUACUUGUAGGGAAAACAUGUGGAGUAUAAAUAUUAGAAUAAUAAACCAACAGGCUACCCCCACAAAAGAAUGAUUAAAUGCUAUAGGGUAAGGCCAGCAGCACGGAGCAACAAGAGCAUUCCACUUGUCUCUUGUCCAUGUUAAGACGGUGACUUGUCAGGAUUGAUGGGUGGCAGAAUGGACCGGUUGGUUGCUGGAGAGAGGGGAGAAGAAGACGUCGCUGAUGCAUUUCAUCCAACUGGUGGUGUGCCGUCGCCUCCCUCCUCCAAAUUCUCUCCUCCCUUAAAUCAAUGCUCAAACCACCAAAAUCAGCAGCAGCAAUCACCAGAAGAUGUAGGAUUUAUUAGACCGAGAGAGCACGAGGCGGUGGCGUGGCGUGGAGCCGCGGCAGAGCUCGCGGACACCAGAGUCGCUGCACUUUGACGCAGGCGCGGCCCAAAGCUCGGUGUUCCGGCUUCGCGGCGGGGAGGUGGAUGCCGGCGAGGACGCAGCCGCGGCGGCUUCGGUGGCCCGCAGGCCACAAAAUGGAGAAUCCGCCUAUUCGUCGCACAAGCUAGAAGAGUUCCCUUGGCCGGCCCAUUAUGGAUUUGAACCGGGUUUUCUAUUAUUAUUAUUAUUUUCAAAAAAAAUUUGUUUCGCAGAUUAAAAAAGAACUACUGUUAAUGAGUUUUGAAAAAUGUAAAAACUUAUAGGUGGGGAAAUAUAAAAAUGCUCAGGUAUGUACAUACAAAUAUCCAUACUUCUGAAAAAAUACUCCCUCCGUUCCAAAAUAUAAGUCUUUUUAGAAAUUUUAUUAUACACUACAUAUGGAUGUACAUAGAUAUAUUUUAGAGUGUAGAUUCACUCAUUUUGCUCCGUAUAUAUUUCCGUAUUGGAAUCUCUAAAAAGACUAUUUAGUAACGGAGGGAAUAGUUAAAAAAAUUCGAUGCAUAUUUAAAAUAUAUUAGCGUAUACAUAAAAUUAUAUUCGCAUAAAAAACUUAUAUGCAUUUUUUAUGUGUUUCUUGAAAAGUUCUUGGUUUUUAAAAAGCUUUUCUCAGAUGGACAUAGAUAAAAUGUGUGUCCAGUGCAGGGCGGGUGCAUAGAGAAGUGCCUGUUUAUACAGGAUAAUUAGCACCUAACAUAAUAAUCUUUGGACAAUCGUCGAGUUCAGAGAACAACUCACCUUCGAAUGGAGGUUGAUCAGAGGAGGUUGCCAUCCUGUGCUUACUUUCUCCAAUUCAGUACGUGUAUAUAUAUACUGAUAAUUGCAACAUCGAUACAUCAUCGUUCCAAAACAAACAAUGAAGAGCCAUCCCAUCGUUCAAUGAAUUACUGUGAUAUAGGAGGAAAGAUACAAUGAAUCUGUCCAGGAAGAAGCGGAAGUGUUCAUCAUCGACGUCGAGAUUCAGGUAUAAACUGAUGCGUGCGGCACAGUACUGUUGACAGUCCCAGUCUCCCAGACUCCCAGUUCAUCCUCCAGUACUGUUGACACAUUAUUUUACUGGUUGAGAGACAAGCAUUGUCAUCCACAGCCACCCGAAUCAAAGCAACCAGUGCAUACUUACACAGGAAAUUUAAUUAGCAGCAAACAUAACAGUGUGAAUAAUCAUUCAGAGACCUUUGGUCAACAUCAACAGUCCUGCAGGCAAGCAAAGAUUGGAAAUUUGUCGUCUGCUCUAAAUUUUACGGGGUUCCAUAUGUGUAUAUACUCACAAGAGAAUGCCUGACAUGGAACAACAAAUAAUUUACUACUCCCUCCGAUCCAUAUUAAUUGUCGCUGAUUUAGUACAAUCCGAUCCAUAUUAGUAGUCGCUGAUUUAGUACAACUUUUUACUAAAUCAAUGACAAUUAAUAUGGAUCAGAGGGAGUAGUAGAGUAUUGGUGGCUUACUUUUCAGGCAUUGGUUGGCGAGAUUGGCAUGGAACAAAGAUAAAACCUUCUUAUUUCUUCAUGCCAUGAUCUUCUUUAGUAUCAUAAAAGUAGAUGGCAAUUCACCUCAAAAUUCAACUCGGCUAGUGCAACCGUGGAUGUGCUAAGAACAGGAUGUGCAACCGUAAUAUUUGUUUCUAGCAACGAGGCAUGAGGCACUUAGCUAGUACCAAUAAUUUUAGUCCAGCUGAAACUUACUGUGUUUUAUCUCCAUCUCAUGCGUACAAGUGCUCAUUGCUGUUUCUGCUAUGUGUUACUGUACAUAUCUACGCACAUCCCUGCUAUCCUGGAGCUACCAAAGUGAUAAUUUGCACACUUCUGACUACUCGUAAAUUACAAAGGGGGCAUAGCUGGGAAUACUAGCGUGUUGGAUGUUACACGGCAGCCAACAUUACAGAAAGCACUAGUACUGGAAUUUUACCGAAUCAACCCACCUGAGCUUUGAACUUUUCUUCAGCCAGUGUGGUCAUGAUGCUGCUUUAUUGUACAGGCUUUGAAUUCCACAGAUUACAGCCACUACCUCUUUUUGCUCGGACACAUGACUUCCAAAAAGACUUCCUUAUUUCUAUGUAAUUCUAGCACGGAAUUUUCCCACGGUUAACCGUUGUGUUGUGCCACCACUUGGGGCUAAAUCUUUUUUUCUAUACCCCAAGCUGAGAAGCAAAAAGCGAAACAUUUUAGAGAAUAGCUCAAGACACAUAACUGAAGCAGUUACAAGCUACAUGAUCAAAUAAACAAGAAACACUAUCAAACCAAUCACACGAGAUAACAUCAAAUAAAAUCUCUGCCACGAUGUUAACUGAAUCACAAGUCCAUUCGGUGCAUAAGUUGUAGACAGAGGAAAUUUGGUAAAUAUAAGAUCAGUACGUACGCGUCCGCUGUCGGUACCCUUCCUAUCCAUGCCUUCAAAAUAACAGGCAGCCCAGCAGCAACGACGAAGAGAUGGUGGCAGACACCGAAAAAGAGUCAUCCACUCAAUUCCUUUCCAAGAAAAAAGAAGCUUCCACUCAGCUGUUGCGAGUUGACUGAAGACCUCAUGACCAUGGACGACACACUGGUUAAAUACCCAUCAACAGAGUGUGUCCUCAAUCACUUCCCCAAGAAAACACAUUCCCGAAUUCCAGAUGCAAACACUAGGCAGCAAAAUGCAACCUGUGUUGUACCUCUGCCUACUGCUCAUGCCCUGCCUAUUUCUCGUGGAAGAAGCACAUGCGGCGUGCCAUGGAGGGAUCUCACUGAGGUCUCAACGCAUGGCCCUCCUCCACUGGAAAGAUACACUUGCAAGCCCACCGGUGCAGAUGAGCUCUUGGCAGGAAAACACCACCCCCUGCAAUUGGACGGGCAUCGUGUGCACAGCUGUUCGCCAUGGCCGCCGCAUGCCCAGGGUAGUUACCGACAUCUCCCUGCCGGAUGCUGGCAUCAGGGGCCAGCUUGGUGAGCUCAACUUCUCAGCUCUUGCAUUCCUCACAUAUAUUGACCUCAGCAACAACAGUCUCCAUGGUGCACUACCCGCUAGUAUCAGCUGCCUGUCAUCACUUUUGGAACUCUACCUUCCCUACAACCAGCUCACAUGGAAAAUUCCCUAUGAGAUUGGUGGCCUGCAAAGUCUGAGGGUGCUUGAGCUCUCAUUUAACAGACUCACAGGACAUAUUCCUGCGUCUUUGGGCAACCUAACAAUGUUAAAUGAUCUUAUCAUUGACCAAAACAUGGUAUCAGGUCCCAUUCCUGAGGAGAUUGGAAGGCUUGUCAACCUACAACUUCUACAGCUAAGCAACAGCACCUUAAGCGGUUUGAUACCAAAAAUCCUUGGAAAUUUAACCCAGCUAAAUAUUUUGUACCUGUAUGGCAAUCUACUUUCAGGGCCUAUACCCCAAGAACUAGGCAAGCUGGUCAAUUUGCAAAGUCUAGAGCUUAGUAUAAAUUAUUUUUCAGGUCCAAUUCCAAUCUCCAUAGCCAAUCUCACUAAGAUGAACACACUUUUUCUCUCCAACAAUCAGAUCACAGGUCGGAUACCCCCAGAACUAGGCAAUCUCACUAUGCUAAACCAACUUGAUCUCAACACAAACCAAAUAACAGGUUCAAUACCCCUAGAACUAGGGAACCUCACUAUGCUCAAUGAACUUUCACUUUAUGCAAAUCAAAUCACAGGUACAGUACCUUCAAAAUUGAGCAUCUUGUCGAAUCUCCGGUUUUUAGACUUCUCCCACAACCAAAUAUCUGGCUCUAUUCCUGGCAGCUUAGGAAAUAUAACCAAGCUGAUACGACUAUCCCUCUCUGUAAAUCAGAUAACCGGUUCCAUCCCCCAUGGGAUUGGCAAUCUGAUGAACCUCGAAUAUUUAGGCUUGUAUCAGAACCAAAUUUCAGGAUCAAUACCAAAAACUUUUGGGAAGCUGCAAAGGAUUAGAAAACUGCAAAUCUUUAAUAACAAUUUAUCAGGUUCUCUUCCUCAACAAUUUGGAGAUCUCAUCAGCCUUGUUGAAUUUGGGGUGUCUAAAAACUCACUUUCAGGACCAUUACCUGCAAAUAUAUGUUCAGG